UGCAUUUGAAGUAGAGAUUGUGCUGCUACGCGCCCACUGGGCCAAAAGAAAUGCGGGAAGGGGCACACCCGCCAAAUGCC
rnacentral:tRNA from 12 species